rnacentral:rRNA from 1 species
AACGAACGCUGGCGGCAGGCUUAACACAUGCAAGUCGAGCGCCCCGCAAGGGGAGCGGCAGACGGGUGAGUAACGCGUGGGAAUCUACCGAGCCCUACGGAAUAACGCAUGGAAACGUGUGCUAAUACCGUAUACGCCCUACGGGGGAAAGAUUUAUCGGGGUUUGAUGAGCCCGGGUUGGAUUAGCUAGUUGGUGGGGUAAAGGCCUACAAAGGCGACGAUCCAUAGCUGGUCUGAGAGGAUGAUCAGCCACAUUGGGACUGAGACACGGCCCAAACUCCUACGGGAGGCAGCAGUGGGGAAUAUUGGACAAUGGGCGCAAGCCUGAUCCAGCCAUGCCGCGUGAGUGAUGAAGGUCUUAGGAUUGUAAAGCUCUUUCACCGGAGAAGAUAAUGACGGUAUCCGGAGAAGAAGCCCCGGCUAACUUCGUGCCAGCAGCCGCCGUAAAAC